rnacentral:rRNA from 1 species
AGCUCCAAUAGCGUCUAUUAAAGUUGCUGCAGUUAAAAAGCUCGUAGUUGCAUUUCCGAGGCAAGGGAUUAGUCCGACCUUUGGUGGGUAUUUAAUCCUCUUGCCUCGUCCUUGAGUGGUGCUUCUUGGUAUUAAGUUAUCGAGGAGAUAGCCGCUCAUCGUUUACUGUGAGAAAAUUAGAGUGUUCAAAGCAGGCUUAUGCCGUUGAAUAUAUUAGCAUGGAAUAAUAAGAUAGGACCUCGGUACUAUUUUGUUGGUUUGAGAACCAAGGUAAUGAUGAAUAGGGACAGUUGGGGGUAUUCGUAUUCAGUUGUCAGAGGUGAAAUUCUUAGAUUUACGGAAGACGAACUACUGCGAAAGCAUUUACCAAGGAUGUUGUCA